rnacentral:rRNA from 1 species
AGAGUUUGAUCCUGGCUCAGAACGAACGCUGGCGGCAGGCCUAACACAUGCAAGUCGAACGAGAUCUUCGGAUCUAGUGGCGGACGGGUUAGUAACGCGUGGGAACGUGCCUUUCACUACGGAAUAGUCCCGGGAAACUGGGUUUAACACCGUAUACGCCCUUCGGGGGAAAGAAUUUCGGUGAAAGAUCGGCCCGCGUUAGAUUAGGUAGUUGGUGGGGUAACGGCCUUCCAAGCCUACGAUCUAUAGCUGGUUUUAGAGGAUGAUCAGCAACACUGGGACUGAGACACGGCCCAGACUCCUACGGGAGGCAGCAGUGGGGAAUCUUAGACAAUGGGGGCAACCCUGAUCUAGCCAUGCCGCGUGAGUGAUGAAGGCCUUAGGGUCGUAAAGCUCUUUCGCCAGGGAUGAUAAUGACAGUACCUGGUAAAGAAACCCCGGCUAACUCCGUGCCAGCAGCCGCGGUAAUACGGAGGGGGUUAGCGUUGUUCGGAAUUACUGGGCGUAAAGCGCACGUAGGCGGAUCGGAAAGUUGGGGGUGAAAUCCCGGGGCUCAACCCCGGAACUGCCUCCAAAACUAUCGGUCUAGAGUUCGAGAGAGGUGAGUGGAAUUCCGAGUGUAGAGGUGAAAUUCGUAGAUAUUCGGAGGAACACCAGUGGCGAAGGCGGCUCACUGGCUCGAUACUGACGCUGAGGUGCGAAAGUGUGGGGAGCAAACAGGAUUAGAUACCCUGGUAGUCCACACC